GUGGCAAUGGGGGGAGGUUUGGGAGGGGAACACCCAUAAGGAAGGGGAGGGGGGAGGGUGAUGUUUGUCCGGAAACCGGGAAAGGGAAUAACACUUGAAAUGUAUAUAAGAAAUACUCAAGUUAAUAAUAAAAAUAAAUAAAUAAAUAAAUAAAUAAAUACUCUUAAAAAAAAAAGAAAUACUCAAGUUAAUAAAAAAAAUGAGCCUUCAACUUAAUCAUAAUAAAAAAAAUAAAAUAAAUUAUAUAAUAUAUAUUAAAAUUUUUAAACAUUUCUGCUUUAUCAGUGCCUAUGUGGUGGUCUUGGAUAGGCUUGCCUUGCAGCAGUAGAGGCAAGAAAAUAAUGAGUUCAAGGUCAUCUCACUUCAUAUUGCCUUCAAGGCCAAACUGGCCUGUGUGAGACUUUGUCUAAAAAGUAAACAAAAUUAUAAAGGGAGUUGCUGUGCUUUUAUGCCUGAUUAGGAGGCACGUGACAUGACCUCACGUUGUCUCAGUCUUAGUGCUAAAAUUAAGGCAAGGCACACUAAAUGUGAUUUAAAUGAGGCACCUCCUUUGAAAAAUGGUCUAAUUGUAGAGUAAUACAUUUAAAGAAUAUGAAUUACAUGUUCCCCAGCCAAUGAUUACCUAGUUAACAAAAUCAGUUCAUGAUCCUUACACAAUUGGGAAAUUAUGAUUGUAAAAUGGUUAUUUUCUAAUUUUCCCAGUCCAUUUUUAUUCAUUCACCCUUUUUAUCAGGAUUACAUGUAUGUGUGAAUGAUUACAGACUCAGAAUUUGUUUAAAUACCUUUUUAUCUAUUUAUCUAUCAUCUCACUAGUAAACUAGGCUUGCCUGAAUUUGUUUAAAUACCUUAUUUAUCAUCCAUCCACCAUCCAUCCAUCCAUCUCACUAGGUAGACUAGGUUGACCUAAAACUCACAGCAAUCCUUCUGCCUCUAUCUCUCACAUGCUAAUUUACAUGCUAGUUCCACAAUGUCAAGUUCUUGAUGCUUGAAAUCCUUGCAGGAUAUUCUGAAGAACUAGAAUUUCAUUCUGUUUUACUGCUUGACCUUUAUUCACCUGCAUCUAAUCUUCAUUGCAAGUGUGUGAUAAAAUUUUUAAAACCUUUUAAGCUUUUUUUGAAACCUCAUAGUUAUUGAAGUGUGUUUUGUUUCUACUACUUCCGAGUUGCCUCUUGGUACCCAACCUGUGUGUGUGAAGAUGUGGGCCUCUUGUCUUCCAGGGUGUUCUUUUCUGUAAAACCAGCUUUAUCAUGAUAGUGCUCACUGAGUCGGGGAAUUUUCUCAGAUUGUGGUUCAGGAAACGUUUUUCUUCUUUUAAAGAGAACAGCAACUUAGCAAGAUAAUUGAUCUGUGGUAAGAAAACACAGCCCCUGAGUGCUCUGUAUGUGUUUUCCUAGGCUCUUUUCUUCCCACCCUUGGCUAUUAGGUCUGGCAUUCUAGCUGCAUGGAUCUAAAGCUCUUUGAAUUAGUAAUCUGAGAAAUUAAGUAACUCUGUCUUGCUUUGAUCUGCUGAUGAGAGACAUAUCAAUUUCCAGCUCAGGGAUACUGCCUCUUGUCACUCCAGGGAAAUUGUUUUACAUUAAUUUCUCUACUGGCAUAUGCUUAAGUUUUUCACAUCUGCUUGGCCGCACAAUAUUCACAGGCUGGAUUGACAUCUGUGCCACUCACCAGGUCUUGUUCUCAGAUGCUUGUACAAGACGGAUGGUCUUGUAGCGCUGCGUCCUCAUGGGUCGGGACCAGUCCCACACAGCAGCACAAUGCUGUUGAGAUCUUCAAGGUAUGACAGCCUCACAUUAGUCUUCAGACCAUGCCAGUCUCUGGUGAUACUGUAGUUAUCAUUGUUAACUGAGAGAUAUUGGAACAAUUUGUUUUUUAAAAAAUCUAUUAAGUUUACAAAACUGGAUUUUGGGUCUGUAUCAUUCCUAAAUUUUAAUUAUAAAAUGCUUCCCACAUUUUUCUUUUUUUAUAUGUAGCUUUGUGCUCUGUAGCUCUGGAUGGUUUAGAACUAUGUAUAUAGCCCAGGCUGGCUUCAGACUGGUAGCAUUCUGUCUCUAACAUGCAAGCCCUGGGACUGUGAAUGUAUGCCACCAUGCGUGGUCUUUUAAAACAUUCUUUCCUCAUGAAAAGUGAAAGUGAUGGUAUUUUUCUUUAAUGAUUUUUUGGUUUUAAAUUAUGUUAUUGGUAUAUAUACAAUAUGGAGAUAUCUUUUUAUGCAUGGAGUUUUUAGUAAGUGCACAGCUAGAAUUUAUAUUAAGUUUAAUUAAAUCUACAAAACAAAAUGCAAAUUAAAAUAUUAACUUAAUAUGGAAGAUUACAUUCUCAUUCUUAUUUUGUUUAAAGAAAGAUAUAACUUAAGGGAGAUGACUUGGUCUGUGAAAGAUGUGCUGUACAAACGCGAGGGCCUGCAUUUAGAUCCCAAGGAUGCAUAUAAUAUCAGGAAGCUUCAGGUUCAAUGAGAGAGACACUGUGUCAACGAAAUGGUAGAUAGCAGUUGAAAAAGACAUCCAACAUCAAUCUCUGGCUUCUACAUACAUGUGCAGUCACCCACACAAACACAUACAGACAGAUAUCAGACACAUGUAUAAAAACAAGUUGCAACACUUAGUCCUCAAGAUUUUUAAAGUAACAGAGAAAAUUUUUUAAAAAAUGUAGAAGUCAAAAUCUGGAGACAAUGUUCUGUCAUUUCCCCAAGUUAAGGCUUAUGUGAAAUUUUUGCCUGUAUCAUGUCUCUAGGGAUUGAGAUCAGAGAUUUGAUUUUUUUUCUUAUCUUGUGAGUUAUUUGUUUUGAUCUGUGUUGCUAUCCCCACGAAUGUUUCAUUUCAUCCACACUGUUCAGCUCUUGUAUACUUUCUACAUUGACAUUGUCUACUCCAUGUUCCUCUGAUCACAAAGGCUGGCCAAUAGUAAUGAGCAGUUUAUAAUCAUCAGCCAGACUUUCCUGGCUCUUAUCAUGGCAUACCAUGAGGUAUUUCUCACUGUACAAGUUCUCCUCUGAUUGUUUCUAGAAGUCACCUGUGAGUGUUAAUGACUCUCUUAGGCUCACUAAUCAUGGGCUCCUCUGUGGCCCUUGUCACAGCAACAGGUGGCUCGUCAGCACUGAUGCUUAAAUAAAAGCACUGAAUAAAUAUUGAAAGAUGGGAGAAUGGCUAUUUACUGAUUCUGAGUAGAAUUUUAGAUGGAAACUAGAAGCCAUCAAGUAUGCUAAUGUAAUAGAACUAAGCAAGUGGAAGACAGCAAGCAUCCAGCAAAACUACAUUGGGAGGUGGUUUUUUUUAUUUAUUAGAUAUUUUUAAUUCAAAUUUUAAAUGUCAUCCCAUUUCACAGUUUCUGCUCCAGAAACCAGCUAUCCCAUCCCUCCUCCCGUGUUUCAUGAGGGUGCUCCCUCACCUACCCACCCAAUCCCUCCCACCUCCUACCCUGGCAUUCCCCUACACUGGGGUGUCGAGCCUCGACAGGACAAGGGCCUCUCCUCCCAUUAAUGCCCAACAAGGCCAUCCUCUGCUACAUAUGUGGCUGGAGCCAUAGGUCUAUCCCUGUGUAUUCUUGGGACGGUGGUUUUGUCCCUGAAUUCUCUCGGAGGGGUCUGGUUGGUUGAUAUUGUUGCUCUUUUUAUGGGGUUGCAAACCCCUUCAGCUCCUUCAGUCCUUUCUCUAACUCCUCCAUUGGGGACUCCGUUGUCAGUCCAAUGAGUAGCUGCCAGCAUUGCCCUCUGUAUUUGUCAGGCUGUGGCAGAGCCUCUCAGGAGACAGCUAUAUCAGGCUCCUGUCAGCAUGCACUUCUUGGCAUCCACAAUAUUGUCUGGGUUGGAUGUCUGUGUAUGGGCUGGAUCCCCAGGUGGGGCAGGCUCUGGAUGGCCUUUCCUUCAGUCUUCACACUUUGUCUCCAUAGUUCCUCCUGUGAGUAUUUUUGUUCACCCUCCUAAGAAGGUCUGAAUGAUCCACACUUCGGUCUUCCUUCUUGAGGUUUGUGAAUUGUUAGGUAUUCUAAGCUUUUGGGCUAAUAUCCACAUAUCAGUGACUGUAUACCAUGGUGUUCUUUUGUGACUGGGUUACUUCACUUAGGAUGCUAUUUUCUAGUUCCAUACUUUUGCCUAAGAACUUCAUGAAGUCAUUGUUUUUAAUACCUGAGUAUUAUUCCAUUUUGUAAAUGUACCACAUUUUCUGUAUCCAUUCCUCUGUUGAAGAGCAUCUGGGUUCUUUCUAGCUCCUGGCUAUUAUAAAUAAGGCUGCUAUGAACAUAGUCGAGCAUGUGACUUUGUUGUAUGUUGGAGCAUCUUUUGGGUAUAUGCCCAGGAGUGGUAUAGCUGGAUCUUCAGAUAAUACUAUGUCCAAUUUUCUGAGGAACCUCGAGACUGAUUUCCAGAGUAGUUGUACCAGCUUGAAAUCCCACCAACAAUAGAGGAAAGUUCCUCUUUCUCCCCACCUUUGCCAACAUCUACUGUCAUCUGAGGUUUUUAUCUUAGCCAUUCUGUCUGGUGUGAGGUGGAAUCUCAGGGUGGUUUUGAUUUUUCUGAUAACUAAGGAUGUUAAACAUUUCUUUAGGUGCGUCUCGGCCAUUCAAUAGUCCUCGGUUGAAAAUUCUUCAUUUAGCUCUAUACCCCAUUUUUAAUAGGGUUAUUUGUCUCUCUGGAGUCUAACUUCAUGAGUUCUUUGUAUAUUUUAGAUAUUAGCCCUCUGUCAGAUGUAGGAUUGGUAAAGAUCUUUUCCCAAUCUGUUGGUUGUCAUUUUGUCCUAAUGACAGUGUCCUUUGCCUUACAGAAGCUUUGCAAUUUUAUGAGGUCCUAUUUGUGGACUCUUGAUCUUAGAGCAUGAGCCAUUGGUGUUCUGUUCAGGAAAAUUUCCCUAGUGGCUAUUUGUUUGAGGCUAUAUCCCCACUUUCUCUUCUAUUAGUUUGAGUGUAUCUGGUUUUAUGUGGAGGUCCUUGAUCCCCUUGGACUUGAGCUUUGUACAGGACGGUAAGAAUGGAUCGAUUUGCAUUCUUCUACAUGCUGACCUCCAGUUAAACCAGCACCAUUUGUUACAAAUGCUGUCUUUUUUCCAUGGGAUGAUUUUAGCUCCUUUGUCAAAGAUCAAGUGACCGUAGAUAUGUGGGUUUAUUUCUGGGUCUUCAAUUCUGUUCCAUUGAUCUACCUGCCUGUCUCUGUAUCUAUACCAUACAAUUUUUAAUCACUAAUGUUCUGUAAUACUGCUUGAAGUCAGGGAUGGUGAUUCCCCCCAGAAGUUCUUUUAUUGUUGAGUAUAGUUUUCACUAUCCUAGGUUUUUGUUAUUCCAAAUGAAUUUGUAAAUUUCUCUUUCUAACUCUAUGAAGAAUUUAGUUGGAAUUUUGAUGGGGAUUGCAUUGAAUCUGUAGAUUGCUUUUGGCAAGAUGGCAAGUUUUACAAUAUUAAUCCUGCUAAUCCAUGAACAUGGGAGAUCUUUCCAUCUUCUGAGAUCUUCAAUUUCUUUCUUCAGAAACUUGAAAUUGUCAUACAGAUCUUUCACUUGCUUGAUUAGAAUUACCCCAAGGUAUUUUAUAUUAUUUGUAACUACUUUGAAAGAUAUCUUUCCCCUAAUUUCUUUCUCAGCCUGUUUAUCCUUUGAGUAGAGGCAGGCUACUGAUUUGUUUGAGUUAUUUUUUUAUCCAACCACUUUGGUAAAGUUGUUUAUCAGCUGUAGGAGUUCUCUGAUGGAGUUUUUGGGGUCACUUAAGGAUACUGUCAUAUCAUCUGCAAAUAGUGAUACUUUGACUUCUUCCUUUCCAAUUUAUAUCCCUUUGCCCUCUUUUUGUUAUCUAAUUUUUCUGGCUAGGACUUUAACUGCUAUAUUGAAUAGGUAGAGAGAGAGUGGGCAGCCUUGUCUAAUCCCUGAUUUUAGUAGGAUUGCUUCAAGUUUCUCCGCAUUUAGCUUGAUGUUGGGUACUGUUUUGCUACAUAUUACUUUUACUAUGUUUAGGUAUAGGCCUUGAAUUCCUGAUCUUUCCAAGACAUUUAUCAUGAAGGGAUGUUCAAUUUUGUCCAAGACAUUUAUCAUGAAGGGGUAUUCAAUUUUGUCAAAUGCUUUCUCAGCAUCUAAUAAGAUGAUCAAGUAGUUUUUUUUCUUUCAGUUUGUCUUUAUAGUGGAUUAUGUUGAUGGAUUUCCAUAUAUUGUACCAUACCUGCAUCCCAGGGAUUAAGCCUACUGGAUCAUGAUGGAUGAUUGUUUUGAUGUGUUCUUGGAUUUUGUUGCAAGAAUCUUAUUGAGUAUUGUUGCUUCAAUAUUCAUAAGGGACACUGGUCUGAAGUCUUUAUGGGUCUUUGUGUGGUUUAGGUAUAAGUGUAAUUGUGUCUUCAUAGAAUUAUGUAGUGUUCCUUCUAUUUCUAUUUUAUAGAAUAAUUUAGAGAAUAUUGGUAUUAGGUCUUCUAUGAAGGUCUGAUAGAAUUUAGCACUAAACCCAUCUGGUCCUGGCUUUCUUUGGUUGGUAGACUUUUAAUGACUGCUUCUAUUUUUUAGGAGUUAUAAAACUGUUUAUGGUUUAUAUGGUCCUGAUUAAAUGUUGUUCCCUGAUAUCUAUCUAGAAAAUUUUCUAUUUCCUCCAAACUUUCCAGUUUUCUUGAGUAAAGGGUUUUAUACUAGGAUCUGAUGAUAUUUUGGAUUUCCUCAGUUUCUUUUCUUAUGUUUACAUUUUCAUUUCUGAUUUUGUUAAUUUGGAUACUAUCCCUGCACCCUCUGGUUCAGCUAAGGGUUUAUCUAUCUUCUUUAUUUUCUAAAAGAACCAGUUCUUAGUUUUGUUGAUUCUUUGUAUAGACAUGUCUAUCCUUAUCUUUUUUGAUAACUUUUGGUUGAAAGUUGAUUUUAUUCGAUAUUAGAAUGGCUACUUCAGCUUGUUCCUUGGGAUCAUUUGCUUGGAAAAUUUUUUCCCAGCCUUUUACUCUGAGAAAGUGUCUGUCUUCAACACUGACGCAUGUUUCCUGUAUGCAGCAAAAUGCUGGGUCUUCUUUAUGUAUCCAGUCUUUUAGUCUAUGUCUUUUUGUUGGUGAAUUGAGUCCAUUGAUGUUGAAAGAUAUUAGGGACCAAUGAUGAUUGUUUCCUGUUUUGUUUUUUUUUGUUUGUUUGUUUAUUUUUUGUUUUAUUAGAGAUGGAAUUAUGUUUGUGUAACUAUCUUCUUUUGGGUUAGUUGAAAGAAGAUUACUUUCUUGGUUUUUCCAGGGUGUAGUUUCCUACCUUGUGUUGCAGUUUUCCAUCUAGUAUCCUCUGUAGGGCUGGAUUUGUAGAAAUAUAUUGUGUAUAUAUUGUGCAAUAUAUUGGUUUUGUCAUGGAAUAUCUUGGUUUCUCCAUCUAUGUAAGUUGAAAGUUUUGCUGGAUACAGUAGCCUGGGCUAGCAUUUGUGUUCUCUUAGGAUCUGUAUGACAUCGGUCCAGGAUCUUCUAGCUUUCAUAUUCUCUGUUCAGGAGUUUGGUGUAAUUCUGAUAGGUCUGCAUUUAUAUGUUACUUGACCUUUCUCCCUUACUGCUUUUAAUAUUCUUUGUUUAUUGCAUUUGGUGUUUUGACUAUUAUGUGACAGGAGGAAUUUCUUUUCUGGUCCAGUCUAUUUGGAGUUCUGUACACUUUCUUGUAUGUUUAUGGCAUCUCUUUCUUUAGGUUAGGGAAGUUUUCUUCUAUAAUUUUGUUGAAGAUUCUUACUGGCCCUUUCAGUUGGGAAUCCUUUCUCUCUCCUAUACCUGCUAUCUUUAGGUUUGGUCUUUUCAUUGUGUCUUGGAUUUCCUGGAUGUUUUUUGGGUUAGGGUCUUUUUGCGUUUUACAGUUUCUUUGACUGUUGUGUCAAUGUUUUCUAUGUUAUCUUCUGCCCCUGAGAUUCUCUCUUUUAUCUCUUGUAUUCUGUUUUUGAUGCUUGCAUCUAUGACUCCUAAUCUCUUUCCUAGGUUUUCUAUCUCCAGGGUUGUCUCCCUUUGUGCUUUCUUCAUGGUUUCUAUUUCCAUUUUUAGAUCCUGGAUACUUUUGUUCAAUUCCUUCACCUUUUUGGUUAUGUUUCCCUCUAAUUCUUUAAGGGAUUUUUGUGUUUCCUCUUUAAGGGCUUCUACCUGUUUACCUGUGUUCUCCUGCAUUUCUUUAAGGGAGUUAUUUAUGUCCUUUUUAAUGUCCUCUAUUAUCAUCAUGAGAUGUGAUUUACAUCAAAAUCUUGCUUUUCAAGUGUUCUGGGGUAUCCAGGAUUUGCAGUGGUGGGAUGCCACUGGGUUCUGAAGAUGCCAAGUGGCCUUGGUUUCUGUUGAUUAGGUAGUUGUGCUUUCCUCUCGCCAUCUGGUUGUCUCUGAUGUUAGCUGGUCUUGCUGUCUCUGACAGUGGCUUGACCCUCCUCUGAGUCUGUGUGUCAGCACAGACCAGCUCUCUCCUGGAGGGAUUUAGGUAUUAAGAGCUGUGGCACAGGGUCAGUUCUGGGUGCAGACAGAAACCAGAAGCAUUUGGGGACUUUUCAUUGUCAAAGUAAUUGUGCUACUUUUUCCUAUUACUAUGAGAAAAUAUUCUAACACAGUUGACUAAAGAGAAAAGGAAUUUAUUUUGGCUCAGUGGUUUAGGUUGUACUCCAUCAUUACAAAGAAAUCACAUCAGUAGAAGUUUGAGGCACUGCAUUCAUAGCAUAAAGCAAAGAGUACCAACGCUUGUGCUCAUUUUCUCCUUUCUAUCAGACUAAGAUCAAACCCAGGAAUGGUGCCAACCACAAUAAUUAACCUACUGAAGAUAAUCUCUGCAGGCAUAACCCAGAUGUCCAUCUCCUGGGUAGGUCUAGAUCUUGUCAGGUUGGCAACUGAGAUUAAACAUCAUAAAAGAAGCAAUAAAGAAAUAAACAGUUUGAAGCCAGAAGUCUUUUCAGCAGUGAAACUAUAGUAUCACUGAAGAAAAGACAGACAGAAUCUGACAGUUUUAAGUAAGUUUAUUACUUUGUGUUAGUUCCCAUUCAUAUCUGUCCUUGCCUGAAUAUUUUAUUUUGUGCCUAUUCAUAAUUAUUCUUGCCUGAAUUCAGCCCAGAGCCUGUAGGUUGGACAUACUUUAAAUUAAGCAAAGUAAGAUAUGAGAGAAGUGAGUGUAGGAGUUUGUCUUUCCUGUGUAGUUAGAGGUCACAUCCACUGGUUUUAAUAAAUGCCAAGCUCAUUCAGUGAUUAUUUUCCAGCAGGUAAUUCAGAAGUUACACAUAAUUAUGAUUAUCACUCCAAGACUUUACCUUAGCAAUAGAAUGCUUCUGAGAUUUAUAUUAAGAAAGAACAGGCCAGAUGAUGCCAAGAAGUGCAUGCUGACAGGAGCCCGAUAUAGCUGUCUUCUGAGAGGCUCUGCCAGAGCAUGACAAAUAGAGAGGUGAAUGCUAGCAGUGAACCAUUGAACUGAGAACGGGGUCCCCAUUGGAGGAGUUAGAAAAAGGACUGAAGGAGCUGAAGAGGUUUGCAACCCCAUAAGAACAAUAAUACCAACCAACCAGAGCUCCCAGGGACUAAACCACCAUCCAAAGAGUACACAUGGACAGACUCAUGGCUCCAGCUGCAUAUGUAGCAGAGGAUGGCUUUGUUGGGCACCAAUGGGAAGAGAAUCCCUUAGUCCUGCCAAGGCUGGACGCCCCCAGUGUAGGGAAUAUUAGGGUGGGAAGGCAGGAAGGGGUGGGUGAUUGGAGAGGGGGAACACCCUUAUAGAAGAAGGGAGAGGGGUAUGGGAUAGGGAGUUUAUGGAUGGGAAACCAGGAAAGGGAUAAUAUUUGAAAUGUAAAUUAAAAAAUAUUCAAUAAGGAAGGAAGGAAGGAAGGAAGGAAGAAAGAAAGAAAGAAAGAAAGAAAGAAAGAAAGAAAGAAAGAAAGAAAGAAAGAAAGAGAGAGAGAAAGAAAGAGAGAGAAAGACAGAAAGAAAGAGAAAGAAAGAGAGAGAGAAAGAAAGAAAGAAAGAAAGAAAGAAAGAAAGAAAGAAAAGGAAGGUAGGAAGAAAGAAUGAACAAAUGGAUGAACAGGCCAGCUUCAUAAACUGAUAGUGCCACAAGGUGGAGGUCCAAAAAUAUUACAGCAGGUUCAAUAUUAAGAUACUCAGCUCCUUUAUCUGCCUUAGAAUGGAGAGAUCACUAGAACAGAAGGAUUGCUAAACAUUGUGGAUAAAUGUUCAAUGUUAGAAAGGAAAGGAAGCAUUUCAAACUCAGCUAGUUUGUUUUAAUUGCAAGGAAAACUAAAACAAAACAAACACAUCUGCAUGAAUUUACACAUACAUUUGCUUUUAUGUACACAGUUAAGGAGAGGAAGAUAUUUAGCAAGCCACAAAUGUUUUCUUUCUGGACAGUAGGAUUACUGAGGACAGUUGUUGCCUUUUCGAUUGCUUUGGUUUGGGUUUAAUUUAAAAAAAAAAAAACUCACAUUGCCCAAGCUAUGUUGCUAAGGAUGAUCCUCCUGCCUCCACUUUUAAGAGUCCUGGGAUUAUAGGCUUUUACCAAUACAUAUAGCUAGAUAGAUAUAUAGCUAGAUUUUUUUCUUUUUCUAUUUUUGAAAAUUAAGCUUGUUUUUAAAACAAUUUUACACAUAUACAAAAUGCAUACUGACAGUCUCAGGUUCACCCUCCCCCAUUUCCCUAGCACUCUGUUUACUUACUUCCCUACAAAUCUCUCAUAUUCAUGUUUGUUAGGUUUGUUUUGUGACCCAGGGUCAUCUGAAUGGUCAGAGUUUGGAGAUAUUAUGAGAGUUUAAUGAGUUCAGGAGUAGGCACACAAUUGAAGAGUACCCCUUCCCAUAAAUAAAGAAUAUUUCUACAGUAUGGGGUAGAACCCCAUGACUCUUCUCCUAUCCAUGACUGGUGAUUUGCAGUGCUGGUAUGGUGCAGGUCCUAUGCAGUAACUGUAGUUGGUAUAAGCUCAUUAUCCUCGUCAAGUUCUAUUGCUGUGAAGGGACACCCUGACAACAGCAACUCUUAUAAAGAAAAGCACUUCAUUGUGGCUUGCUUACAGUUCAGAUGUUUACUCCAUUUUCAGCAUAAUGAGAAGGAACAUGGUGGCACACAGGCAGACAUGGUGCUGGAGAGGUAGCUGUGAGUUCUACAUCUCAGUCAGCAGGCAGCAGGAAGAGAAAGUGACACUGGGCUUAGUUUGAGCAUUUGAAUGAAACCUCAAAGCCCACCUCCAAUGACACACUUUUUCCAACAAGGCCACAGCUCUUAGUAGUAUUAUUCCCUAGGAGCCUAGGGAGGGGCACUUUCAUUUAGAGCUCCUCCCAUGGUUGUCAUGGUGCUUUGCAGCCCUUUACUCCAUCUUCCAGUUCUCAUGUCUGCUUCUGAUUUCAAUCUGCUCGCUCUCCAACUACAACACCAAGAGGAUCAGAAUCAACAUGACCCUCCUAUUAUCAUCCAAACAGCUCUGAUGCAGUCUCCCUAGGAAUUCUGAGAUCUGUUCCAGACAGGCACAGGGUAUUGUUCUCAUCAGAGAGUGCUUCUGUUUUGUAUGGAGUAUUUUGAGAAAAAUAUGUAAAGCACUUAGGAGAGAAAUAAACACAAUUAUGGCAGUUAACAAAAGAUAGAUGCUAUAAUAGUGAUGACGACGAUGACAACGACGCCGAUGAUGAUGAUAAUCUAUUAUGAGUUAUAUUCAAACCUAAGAUAAAUCUGCAUUUUAAUACGGCAUCCAACCUAUCAAAGUGACAGUGUGACACUAAGGGCUGUAUAGAAGUAUAAGGGUUUAAAUUUUUAUUUUAAAAUUAUAUUCAUUUGUUUAUUAUUUAUUGAUUUAUUUAGGAGCAGAAACUGAAGGAAUGGCCAACCAAUAACUUGAGUCCUAUCCCAUAGACAAGGACCAAUCCCUGACACUAUAUUGAUACUCUGUUAUGCUUGCAGACUGGAGUCUAGCAUGGGUGUCCUCUGAGAGGCUACACCAAGCAGCUGGCUCAGACAUAUUGCAGUCACCCACAGCCAAACAAUGACUCUUAUGAAAGAACAGGAGGACGGAUUGCAGCCUCUAAGGGAAUAUUACUCCACAGAGUCAACUAACAUGGACCCUUGGGGCUCUCAUAGACUGAACUAACAACCAAAGAAUAUACAUGGGCUGGACCUAGGCUUCCUUGCACAUAUGUAGCAUCUUGGUCUUCAUGUGGGUCCCAAACAACUGGAGUUGUGGAAGGGUCUACCCCAAAAGCUGUUGCCUGUACUCGGGAUAUGUUCUUCUAGCUGGGCUGCCUUGUGUGACCUUGGUGGGAGAGAAUGCACUAGCUUCAGAGAGUUGAUGUGCCAGGGUGGGGAGAUACCCAGGGGGUCCCUCACCUGCUCAGAAGAGAAGGGAAGAGGGCAUGGGGAAGUGGAAGGGGAAGGGGAGGGGAAGGACUGUGGGAGAGGGUGACCAGAAGGGGCACAGUGAUCAAAAUAUGAAGUGGAUAAGUAAAAAAUAAAUAAAAUUACAUGUAUUUAUGUUCUGUGUGUUUAUCUGUCCCACAUUACAAGUAAAGGUCAGAUGACAACUUUCAGGAGCUGAUUCUCUCCUUCUAUCAUGUUGGUUUUAAGGACUGAAGUCAGAUUGUAAAGCUUGGGUGUAAGUGUUUUUAGUCACUAGACCAUCUUAUUGGCCCUGUGUUUUUGAGAUGGCCACAUAGUCUUGAAUUUUCUAUACUAUGAUGACCCUGAACUUCUGAUCAUCCUGCCUCUACUCACCAAGUGCUGAGAUUGAACCUUGUGUAUGCUAGACAAGCACUCUACCACCUGAACUAUAGUCUAGGCCCCAAGUUUUCAUAUAUAUGUGAGUAUGACGUAUGUACUGAGGAAGACAUCAAAAGAGCUAUCCUCUAUCUUUUUAAACAUGAUUUCUUGCUGAACCUGGAGCUACCCAGUGGACAGCAAGCUCCACGGAGCCUCCUGACCUUCCCCUCCAUUGUUCUAGUGUUACAGGCCUCAUAGCCAUGCUUUUAAAAUAUAUCCUUGGGAUUUGAACUCAGGUCUUCAUACUUGUACAGCAAGAACUCCUCUCUACUGAGCCAUUUCUCUAGUCCCUCAGUUUCAACAUUUUGAUUUUGAGGGUAGACAAAGUCCAGUUUGCCAGAAUGGAGCUCAGGCUUGUUGGGAGAAAUGGUGAGGUAUUCUUUCCAUGAAAGGCAUUGGGCACUAGAAAUUGCAAACAAAUUCAACAAUGGCUGUCUCGCUAUGUGAAGGGGAAGGAAACUGGAGAAGCAUGAGCCUGAUAUGGAGGCAAGGCUUCCCUUGAGUUGGCUGGGGUUGCUGGUAUGUUGGGACUCACAAGAGCAUCCUACCAAAGGUUCCCAUAGCACACAAUGGCUGUAGACAGAGUCUGAGAUGUAAGAGUUAAUAUGCUUUAAAGAGUCAACAGGGCUGGGCGUGAAGAUGUACAAAUGUAAUCUUGAUACCUGGCCAGAAGAGACAAAAUAUCUUCAGUUCCAGACCAGCACUGGCUACAUAAUAAGACUUGGUUUUGAAAUUUCAGUGGGGUUACAGAUACCUAUGUGAGGUACUAAUUUCACCUUCAACAGUGGGAGUCCUUGUUAGGAAGUAUAAAGCAGCAGUGGCUACGGUAAGAGGGUAUCUGGUGGGCCCAUGUCUCACAGAGAAGUCACACCAUAUAACAGAACUGGGAUAAGGGAGGUUUGUUUAGGGGAAGGGAGGGGAGUGAGGACCUGGAGAAGGGGUAGAGGCAGACAGAGCCAUGAGGGCAGUGAAAGCAGAGACAGAGACGGAAGGACACAGAGAAAAUGAGAGGCUGGCCAGAAACAUAUGAGAACAUAAAGUGAGAGGGAGAGAGAAGGGGGUGGAGACAGGAAGAGGAAAAAGUCAACAAGUCCUCUUAUACGCUGCCAGGCACGUAUAUGCAAAUGAGGAAAAUAAAAUUGACAUUGGAUUUCUUAUCAGAUUCCUCAAAUGCAAAAAGAUACCAUCCUAACUGCUCCCAGGAUGUUGGAAGCAUUUUCUUUUGACAUAGAAGCAGAAUACUGUGUGUUCUCUCAUAAAGCGGAAAAUGUAUUCCAUAUUAAUAUAUUCAGUGCAAUUUCAAAGAAAAUAACACAGACUAAUCCUAAAACUUGUAUGGCAAAACUGAGGACCCAAAGUAGCAAGCCAUUCUUUUAUAAGACAACUAAGGAAAAUGCUUAGCUCAUUACCAUUGUGAGAUGUAUAGAGCAAAUGAAGUCCUCAGUGUGUGUGUAUUGUUGACAUGAGCCUUCCUGUUGUGGGUUGGUCUGGUGAUGCUAUGUAUUCAAGUGCUAACUAUGGCCCCCAAGAUCUGGUUGCCACUAGGAGGAGAUUCUUACCUACACCAAGUGGUGCUAGGUAACCCUUGCUCUUCAAUUUAAAGUUAAUUGGUUAAUAAAAGGCCAGAGCCUGGGGCAAUAGGGAGAGAAAGGUAAAACUUGAGGAUCCAGGUAGGGGUUUGAGAAGAGACCAGAGGAGGAAGGAGAAGGGACAGGGAGAGAGGAGGAGGCUGCCAGAGGAGAUGGACCAUGAGUUCACAGCCAGGAGAAACAGCAAGAAGGGACAUAUAACUGAGAUGUAAGUUAAAAUAGCUCCGAAACUCACUCAAUCAAGGCUUACAGCUUGUAAAUAAAAUACCAGGACUAUGUGUCUUUUAUAUGGGAAUGCUAGAAUAUAUAAUUCAUUUUACAUUGCCUUAUCAGGGACCCCACUGUCUCGACCCAUGGGAAUGAAAGGCUUUCCCUAGGUCAGAGUGUGGAUGAUGACUGUAUACAAAAAUGUUAACCAUGGUCUCCUGGAUGACUGCAGGCUGAGACAGCUAGCUCCCUUACAGAGAACUCCAACUGCGAUUAGCUAAACCACCUCCUAUCUCAGCAAUAAAUAAACAAAAAUUAAAAUAAACAAUAAAGGUAUACACACUGUGAGUUUCUAGGAUGCUAGUUCCUCUCAUCAGACAGCUUGGCUCCAGAUCCCAGUCUUCUCUUCAUUCCCCAUCACCCAAUCAGCUCAAUCUUAAAGCUGUGCAGUUCAUGGCAAUGAGAGUAAUUUAUGUCAAAAAAUUGCUACUCCUAUAGAGUUAACAUUAUUAUCAUUAUCUUCCAGUUUAUUAAACCUUGAAAUCUAUGCCUUAUUUAAAUAUUAAUAACAUCCUACUGAAUAUUACUACACAGCAUGUACACAAUUAAUAAAUAAAAUUUAUUCACUACAGAUUAAAUUUUCCCAAACAUUUAAAUGUUGAUUUCAAACUUAAUCAAACACUUCUAAAUAUUUAAUUAGAAUCUCUUGAGUAUAGAGCAGCUUCUUAAAUGCUCCGAAAUCUAUCAAGUUCACAAAUGUAUGAUUAUUGUAAAGCUAACCAGUUGCAUAGAGUGCACAUAUGCAGGAUAUACAUGUAGAUUAUACAAUUCCUUAUUCUUAUUAUAUAGACUAGGUUCUUUUCUACAGUGUAAUGAUAUGGUAGGCUAACUCAUCUGUCAUCUCAUAUUUUUGGCUCUCUCUAUGGUUCACCCUACUGCUCAUGCUGUAAGCUGACCUCUAGGUUUAUCCUGCACGAGAUGGACCAUGAGCUCAUGGCCAGGAGAAACAUCAAGUAAGGUUUAUACCCUUUGACCUACAUCUUCCCAAUUCACUAGCCCCUCCCCCACCCCUGCUAACAACUUUUGUGGGGUUUCAAUACAUUUUGCUCUUUUUAGUUUCCUCAUAUAGAAUGCAGUAUUUUUCUGUCUGUCUGUCUUACUUCACCUAACAUAAAUUCCAGGCUUAUCCAUUGCUUGCAAAUUCAGGAUUUCCUUCUUUUUGAUAUCCCAUUAUAUGCAUAAGCAAUACUGUCUGUUCAUUUAUUGAUGAAUAAUUGAGUUGCAACAGUGUCUUCGUUAUUAUGAAUUAUGCCAUAAACAGUGGGGUACAGAUAUGUGUGAAGUAUAGAUUUCAUACACACAUACACACACACACACACACAGAGGGGGUUGGGGGAAGGAGGGAGAGAGAGAAAAGGACUCAUGUAUCCUAUGAUGGUUUACAUCUUGAUUUUUUUUAAAACUAUGGUGUUUUUCACUCUAUUAAAUAUUUGUAUAAUUAAACAAAUCUGUAUUCCCAGCAGCAGUGUCAAAGGAUUCUCUUUUUUCCACAUCCUCACCAACACACAGUUACUUCCCUCUGUUAACUGUCCCUGAGUGGACAGAGUUAUAGCUCAUCACACUUAUGACUUGAACUCCAUGUGACUUUGUAUUUAGGGAUUCUUUCUCUCUCCCCCCCACCCCUCUCAGACUGGGUCAUAUGUAGCUCAAGCUGUCCUCAAAUCUGCUAUGUAACCGAGAAAGACCUUGAACUUCUGCAUCUCAUUGUCUUCACUGUCUCAUUGUCCUCAUUGUCUUCACUGUCAGGUUAUCUCCUACUUAUUUAGUGCUUGAAGACUGAACCCAGGGCUUCUUACAUCCUUGGCAAACAGUCUACCAACUGAGUACAGCCUCAUCUUUACAAGGCUCCAAAGAAAACAGGAAGCGUGUGGGAGUUGCUAGACCUGGAGAUCGACAGUCUUAGAGUUAGUCGGGACUCAAGACUGAGUUCCUCUCCUUAGUAAAGCUUUCCUUAGGUGUUUCCCAUUUCUAGCCAUCUUCUUGCUGUUAAUUUUUGACCUGCGAUACCUUUGCCAAAUAAAACGUGUAUGUUUUAGAUGCCC